GAUUAUGACGUACUUGUACUGAUUGAGAUUUUAACACGAAGUGAGUGGCGAACGGGUGAGUAACACGUGGGUAACCUGCCCAGAAGUAGGGGAUAACACCUGGAAACAGAUGCUAAUACCGUAUAACAGAGAAAACCGCAUGGUUUUCUUUUAAAAGAUGGCUCUGCUAUCACUUCUGGAUGGACCCGCGGCGUAUUAGCUAGUUGGUGAGGUAAAGGCUCACCAAGGCAGUGAUACGUAGCCGACCUGAGAGGGUAAUCGGCCACAUUGGGACUGAGACACGGCCCAGACUCCUACGGGAGGCAGCAGUAGGGAAUCUUCCACAAUGGACGCAAGUCUGAUGGAGCAACGCCGCGUGAGUGAAGAAGGGUUUCGGCUCGUAAAGCUCUGUUGUUAAAGAAGAACGUGGGUAAGAGUAACUGUUUACCCAGUGACGGUAUUUAACCAGAAAGCCACGGCUAACUACGUGCCAGCAGCCGCGGUAAUACGUAGGUGGCAAGCGUUAUCCGGAUUUAUUGGGCGUAAAGCGAGCGCAGGCGGUCUUUUAAGUCUAAUGUGAAAGCCUUCGGCUCAACCGAAGAAGUGCAUUGGAAACUGGGAGACUUGAGUGCAGAAGAGGACAGUGGA
rnacentral:rRNA from 1 species